rnacentral:sRNA from 1 species
UAACACCGGUAUUAGACUUACAUUUAUGC